GAAAACAGGAAGCAGCAGCUCUUUAGGACCCUGGCUGCUUGCUGCUGCAACUUCUGCCUGCCCCUGGCUCACCCUGAAGCUACAGCUGUGAGGAGGCUUUUGGCUUUCUUCUCUCCACUGUGCAGGUAAUACAAGCGUGUUAAACAUCUCUUCAUCGAUUGGCAGGGUGUUGUGGAGACUAGCUUCUGACACACAACUCACAAGGCAAAUAAUCAUCUAGGUUCUAGGACAUGUUCUAGGACAUGGACUGGUCUGAGGAGGACAUCUGGAAUCCAGGGGAGGAGCCCAGUAGUCUGAUGAGGAGUGAUGGCUGAGGAUGCUGGGAAGAGGUCAAGUGAUCUGCCUAUUAACAGCCCCCCCCCCCAAGGUGUCAGCCUACAUGAAUGAAGGGGCUGAAUUGUCAAUCCAUUCCGUCUCCUCCUCUUACCCUGCUUCCAGCAGUUGUUCUACCUUCCAGCCAGCCUCUUGUUGUUGACCCACCUCCAGUGCAGGAGAGGCUGCCGGAGAUGAAGAUCUGACCAGGUCAUCAACAUCUCUGUCACCGUGGAUGCACCAGAGACUGAGCAGGCAUGAACAGACCAAGCCUGUUAACCAGCUUUCUCAUGGGAGAGCUGAUUGGUUUGCCCUGUCCUGAGCUGGGAGAUGAAUGCCAUGCAAGUAGUCAUGCCCACCCCAUCCUUCUCAAGGGGGACUCGAGGGCAUGUCAAGUGUUGUGACAACAUCUUCACUUGUUUAGCUAAGCUGAGUAGUGCCUUGUCCUGAUCUUAACUCUGUGUGAACUGUAAUCUGAUCGAUGUUCUAAUUAUGUGCUAAACUGUGGAUUAAAGCCAUUGGCAAUAAUUGA